GGCUUGAUCGAUCCACGAAAAAUUUGAUUCUAAACUCGUUUCAAAACUAGAGGGGGGCAGCUUUUCGUUUCUGAUGGUAUUUCCGAAUUUGGCCCCCAAAAAAAUUCGAAAUUAACGAAAAUUCGUUAUUUUCUAAAUUAAUUUGUUAAUGGCGGACGCGCAUGCGCAAUUCCCAAAAACAGCACAGAGGGAGAGGACUUUACAGGACUCUCCCACCCUCAUUUUUUGAGUGAUCGUCUUCCAACUUGGUACAGUGGUAGAACACAUUUAACACUGAUAGCUCACCAAAAUUUGGAACGUUUCCCUUAUUCUCUGAUUUUUGGCGAAUUUUCAUAGCUUUUAUAAUAAACCAUUUUUUAAUAAUUGCAGAAAUCUGUUCCUGGUUUGAAAGUCUUAUUUCCUGUUAAAUUGGGUUGUCUUUACUGUGAAAGUCAUUGUUCUACUUCAGAAACUUUGUUUUUGUGGCUGAAACUUUGUUAAAUUGGUGUGUGUGUGAUAUAUACUGUGUAUAUAUAUAUAUAUAGUCCCUGCAUAAUGUGUGUGUGUGUGUGUGUGUGUGUGUGUGUAUAUAGGUAAAGGUAAAGGUAUCCCUUGACGUUAAGUUCAGUCAUGUCUGACUCUGGGGGUUGGUGCUCAUCUCCAUUUCUAAGCCCAAGAGCCAGUGUUGUCCAUAGACACCUCCAAGGUCAUGUGGCCGGCAUGACUACAUGGAGUGCCAUUACCUUCCCGCCAGAGCGGUACCUAUUGAUCUACUCACAUUGGCAUGUUUUCAAGCUGCUAGGUUGGCAGAAGCUGGAGCUAACAGCGGGCACUCACUCUGCUCCCGGGAUUUGAACCUGGGACCUUUCGGUCUGCAAGUUCAGCAGCUCAGUGCUUUAACACACUUCGCCAUCGGGGCUCAUGUAUAUAUAAUAUACAUACACAUACACACAAUGUGGAGAAUAUGUGGAAAGGUAGAUAAGUUGGGAGCCACAGCGAAGGCACCUUCCUGGGAGCAAGGUCUAAUAAUAAUAAUAAUAAUAAUAAUAAUAAUAAUAAAAAAUCCCUUACAAUAUCCAAGAUGGCUCACUGCUACAGAAUCUUGGGAGGUUUAGUUUGAUAUGGUACCAUUAUUGGCAGAGAAAGCUAAUGUUAUGAUUGAGCCUCAUGGCUCUGCUACUGGGAAGCGUGGGCGUAAGACUCCUCGAGAGUCAGAUACUCUCGAGGAGCGAGAAAGAAAGAGGCUGCGAGAUAUCUUUGCAGAACCAUCUGACGAGGAUUCUUUUGAGGGGUUUACAGAGAGAAUGGAGGAAGAGGUGGUGAGCUCGGAAGAGGAUGAGAUGGAUUGGACUCGGCUUUGACCUUCCGUCGUCUUCUUGACGGACGCCAUCUGCUACUCUGGAUUUACGGACUGAACUGACUACGGGCUCGGAUUCUCCUACCUGGACUUGGUGAACUACAAACGUCUGCUUCUGCCUUACGACCUUCGGAAAGAACUGGGACUACGCUACUGCUUCAAUCCUCGGCUGUUGUGUUUGUAUUGGAACCUUGCCUGCUGUGUGGAGGUGUAACUGCUAAGUUACUCAAAACAUAGUGCUGGCAGCAGAGAAGCAUCUGCUGCCAAUUAGUUACAUUCUUUUGAACUCUUUGUUCACCAGUUUCUGUUUUGUUUAUUCUCAGGCUGAAGCAAGUUGUUUUGAUUUUGUCCGGAUUAAACUCCGGUUUAAUCCGGUUUAUCUUUUGAAUGUUUUUCUUGCCCCUUUUUGCUUUUUAAGGCCAGUGUUGCCUAGCCCUUGUCUUUUACGGGCAUUUUGAGUUCUGUAAAUCCAAUAAACUCUGUUAUCUUUGA